rnacentral:tRNA from 1 species
UCCCUGGUGGUUGAGUGGUUAGGGCUCAGCAUUUUCACUGCCAGGGCCAAGGUUCAAUUCCUGGCUGGGGAA